rnacentral:rRNA from 1 species
UGGGGAAUUUUGGACAAUGGGCGAAAGCCUGAUCCAGCAAUGCCGCGUGUGUGAAGAAGGCCUUCGGGUUGUAAAGCACUUUUGUCCGGAAAGAAAUCCUUGGCUCUAAUACAGUCGGGGGAUGACGGUACCGGAAGAAUAAGCACCGGCUAACUACGUGCCAGCAGCCGCGGUAAUACGUAGGGUGCAAGCGUUAAUCGGAAUUACUGGGCGUAAAGCGUGCGCAGGCGGUUUGCUAAGACCGAUGUGAAAUCCCCGGGCUCAACCUGGGAACUGCAUUGGUGACUGGCAGGCUAGAGUAUGGCAGAGGGGGGUAGAAUUCCACGUGUAGCAGUGAAAUGCGUAGAGAUGUGGAGGAAUACCGAUGGCGAAGGCAGCCCCCUGGGGCCAAUACUGACGCUCAUGCACGAAAGCGUGGGGGAGCAAAACAGGAUUAGAUACCCCUGGGUAGUCCACGCCCCUAAACGAUGUCAACUAGUUGUUGGGGAUUCAUUUUCCUUAGUAACGUAGCUAACGCGUGAAGUUGACCGCCUGGGGAGUACGGUCGCAAGAUUAAAACUUAAAUGAAUUGACGGGGU